CUGAGUUGUCAAAAACUCCAAACCCUUUGUGAACCUAGAAUCGUUGCCUCGGCGUGAGCCGCGCGUGCCCUGCAGCUACCCUGCAGCGGCGCGCGCAACACGGCCCGCCGGAGGACCAAUUCAAAACUCUUGCUCCAAAAGCUUUGCUUCUCUGAAUUAAUGCUUCAAAAUUAGUUA
rnacentral:misc_RNA from 1 species